AUUGAACGCUGGCGGCAGGCCUAACACAUGCAAGUCGAGCGAGCGGCGGACGGGUGAGUAAUGUCUGGGGACUGCCCGAUAGAGGGGGAUCACUACGGGAAACGGUGGCUAAUACCGCAUACUAUCGGAUAACCCAUAUGGGAUUAGCGAGUAGGUGGGGUAAAGUCUCACCUAGGCGACGAUCUCUAGCUGGGCUGCGAGGAUGAUCAGCCACACUGGGACGGAGACACGGCCCAGACUCCUACGGAGGCAGCAGUGGGGAAUAUUGCACAAUGGGCGCAAGCCAGAUGCAGCCAUGCCGAGUGUAUGAAGAAGGCCUUAGGGUUGUAAAGUACUGUCAGAGGGGAGGCGUUACCCGCAGAAGAAGCACCGGCUAACUCCGUGCCAGCAGCCGCGGUAAUUC
rnacentral:rRNA from 1 species